rnacentral:rRNA from 1 species
GAUGAACGCUGGCGGCGUGCCUAAUACAUGCAAGUCGAGCGAACAGACGAGGAGCUUGCUCCUUUGACGUUAGCGGCGGACGGGUGAGUAACACGUGGGUAACCUACCUAUAAGACUGGGAUAACUUCGGGAAACCGGAGCUAAUACCGGAUAAUAUUUCGAACCGCAUGGUUCGAUAGUGAAAGAUGGCUCUGCUAUCACUUAUAGAUGGACCUGCGCCGUAUUAGCUAGUUGGUAAGGUAACGGCUUACCAAGGCAACGAUACGUAGCCGACCUGAGAGGGUGAUCGGCCACAAUGGAACUGAGACACGGUCCAGACUCCUACGGGAGGCAGCAGUAGGGAAUCUUCCGCAAUGGGCGAAAGCCUGACGGAGCAACGCCGCGUGAGUGAUGAAGGUCUUCGGAUCGUAAAACUCUGUUAUUAGGGAAGAACAAACGUGUAAGUAACUGUGCACGUCUUGACGGUACCUAAUCAGAAAGCCACGGCUAACUACGUG